rnacentral:rRNA from 1 species
GAUGAACGCUAGCUACAGGCUUAACACAUGCAAGUCGCGGGGCAGCAUGGGGGUUGCUUGCAAUCCCCGAUGGCGACCGGCGCACGGGUGAGUAACGCGUAUCCAACCUGCCCUUCACCACGGGAUAACCCGGCGAAAGUCGGACUAAUACCGUAUGUUGUCCAUUGACGGCAUCCGAUUUGGACGAAAGGCUUGGCGGUGAGGGAUGGGGAUGCGUCCGAUUAGCCAGACGGCGGGGUAACGGCCCACCGUGGCUACGAUCGGUAGGGGUUCUGAGAGGAAGGUCCCCCACACUGGAACUGAGACACGGUCCAGACGCCUACGGGAGGCAGCAGGGAGGAAUAUUGGUCAAUGGGCGUAAGCCUGAACCAGCCAAGUAGCGUGCAGGAGGACGGCCCUAGGGGUUGUAAACUGCUUUUAUGCGGGGAUAAAGUGGCCCACGUGUGGGCUUUUGCAGGUACCGCAUGAAUAAGGACCGGCUAAUGCCGUG